rnacentral:rRNA from 1 species
GGAAUUGUCCCGCAAUGUGGCGAACAGCUCUGGACGGACGCAAUACACGGGUGUUGGAGCGAAGUCCACUUGGGUGUACGUAAACGCACUGUUUCUUAGGAGAAGGAUAGACUAGCGCGUACGUAAGGAGAUAGAGCGUACGGCUAACUCUCGUGCCACGCACAGCGCGGUAAUAUAGGAGGAGGCAAGCGUUAUCCUGGACAUUAUUGUGGCGUAUAAGAGUACCGUAGGUCGGUCAUGUCAAGUCUUGUUGUUAAAGAACAGAAGCGUCUAUCUCUCGAUAGGCACGUGGAAAUCUGAAAGAGCUAGAGUGAUAGGUAGGGAGUAGAGGGACAUUCUCCAGUUGUAGCGGGUGAAAUGUCGUAGCAGAUUGUGGAAGCAACACCGCGUGUGCGAAAGGCGGUGCUAUCUGGGCUCAAAAUCUGACACGUGAGGGGACGAGAAAGCUAGUGGUAGGCGAAAGCAGACUUAAGAUAUCCUCCUGUAGUCUCUAGCCGCUAAAACGAUAGGGUAUAUAGAGCGUAGUCUUGUAUCGAUCCCUAGUCUGUGCCGACAGC